AUCCUUAGGUGCACUGUCAGGGGUGAUACCAUAAUCACGAAAAUGGUUUCCCCAAGGUGAGGCUUAUCCACUGCACUCUGGAUGUACUGACCCUUGCAAUUUCCCCAAAUGUGGGAAACUUGACUGCAUUGUUCGUGGUAGUGGGGGACUGUAUUUGCCUAUA